rnacentral:rRNA from 1 species
GCCUCCUAAAAGGUAACGGAGGCGCUCAAAGGUUCCCUCAGAAUGGUUGGAAAUCAUUCAUAGAGUGUAAAGGCAUAAGGGAGCUUGACUGCGAGACCUACAAGUCGAGCAGGGUCGAAAGACGGACUUAGUGAUCCGGUGGUUCCGCAUGGAAGGGCCAUCGCUCAACGGAUAAAAGCUACCCCGGGGAUAACAGGCUUAUCUCCCCCAAGAGUUCACAUCGACGGGGAGGUUUGGCACCUCGAUGUCGGCUCAUCGCAUCCUGGGGCUGUAGUCGGUCCCAAGGGUUGGGCUGUUCGCCCAUUAAAGCGGUACGCGAGCUGGGUUCAGAACGUCGUGAGACAGUUCGGUCCCUAUCCGUCGUGGGCGUAGGAAAUUUGAGAGGAGCUGUCCUUAGUACGAGAGGACCGGGAUGGACAUACCUCUGGUGUACCAGUUGUCGUGCCAACGGCAUAGCUGGGUAGCUAUGUGUGGACGGGAUAAGUGCUGAAAGCAUCUAAGCAUGAAGCCCCCCUCAAGAUGAGAUUUCCCAACUUCGGUUAUAAGAUCCCUCAAAGAUGAUGAGGUUAAUAGGUUCGAGGUGGAAGCAUGGUGACAUGUGGAGCUGACGAAUACUAAUCGAUCGAAGACUUAAUCAA